rnacentral:rRNA from 1 species
GACAGAGGGGGCAAGCGUUGCUCGGAAUUACUGGGCGUAAAGCGUGCGCAGGCGGUCAUACAAGACAGAUGUGAAAUCCCCGGGCUCAAUCUGGGAACUGCAUUUGUGACUGUAUGACUGGAGUGCGGCAGAGGGGGAUGGAAUUCCGCGUGUAGCAGUGAAAUGCGUAGAUAUGCGGAGGAACACCGAUGGCGAAGGCAAUCCCCUGGGCCUGCACUGACGCUCAUGCACGAAAGCGUGGGGAGCAAACAGG